GUGGGGAAUAUUGGACAAUGGGCGAAAGCCUGAUCCAGCCAUGCCGCGUGUGUGAAGAAGGUCUUCGGAUUGUAAAGCACUUUAAGUUGGGAGGAAGGGUAGUAACCUAAUACGUUGCUACUUUGACGUUACCGACAGAAUAAGCACCGGCUAACUUCGUGCCAGCAGCCGCGGUAAUACGAAGGGUGCAAGCGUUAAUCGGAAUUACUGGGCGUAAAGCGCGCGUAGGUGGUUCAGUAAGUUGGAAGUGAAAUCCCCGGGCUCAACCUGGGAACUGCUUUCAAAACUGCUGAGCUAGAGUACGGUAGAGGGUGGUGGAAUUUCCUGUGUAGCGGUGAAAUGCGUAGAUAUAGGAAGGAACACCAGUGGCGAAGGCGACCACCUGGACUGAUACUGACACUGAGGUGCGAAAGCGUGGGGAGCAAACAGGAUUAGAAACCCGUGUAGUCC
rnacentral:rRNA from 1 species